rnacentral:lncRNA from 1 species
GUGGGUUACGGUAUUGUGUUUAUCAGUUGUAGUAUUUGUGCUUGCAAUUAUCAGAUGGAGAAAUAGAGGGUUAACUCAUGCUCAGAAGAAGCUAAACAAAAAUCCAAGAAAGAAACACAAGGUAUCUGGCUAUCUUUUCUCUUUAAACAUAUUAAACUACUAAUUGCAUAGCUGAUCUCUCUCUGUCUCUCUCCCUAUCUCACACACAGAGUUGCAGCACCAAAAAGCAGUGGUGCGUAGGAAGAGAUCAGGAAGCCAAUUGGUACCUAUGAUGGGGAAGCCUCGAGUAUUGAUGCAAUAAUCAGCC